rnacentral:lncRNA from 1 species
CUUCUGAGAAGCAGAACCCAAGAUUCCUAGUUUCUCACACUGUGUGGGCUUCCUAUGCACUGAGGAACCUCCAGCUGGCUGGUACUUGAGUAGAAGGCAGACUGCAGACCCUGUUGGAGCAGCCACCCCAGAGAGACUCCACAGCAAAGGAGAGCAGGACAAAACCCCCACUCCCACGUGCAUUUUUUUUUUUUUUCUGGAAGGACUGAAACCAGCAUAGCCAUGGCUACAAGGUAUGUUUGAAAUGAAUAUGAGAUGUUGUAAAGAAUAUGGGCUUUUGAGGUUGCAGACCUUGGUUUGAGUCCUGGCUCCUUGCUGACCAGCAAAGUAAACUUGGGCAUCUUCUUAGCUCUUGGAGAUUCACUUGUUCCUUUGUAAAAGUGAGAAAAUAGUAAUACCUACUACAUAGGGUUGUUAUAAAGAUUAAAUGUGAGCACAAAUAACAUCAGGAAUGAAAGUGAGGG